ACUGCUCAGUAACACGUGGACAAUCUGCCCUUGGGUCUGGGAUAACUCCGGGAAACUGGAGAUAAUACCAGAUAGGUCAUAGAUGCUGGAAUGCUCUAUGGCCCAAAGCUCCGGCGCCCAAGGAUGAGUCUGCGGCCUAUCAGGUUGUAGUGGGCGUAAUGGACCCACUAGCCUACGACGGGUACGGGUUGUGAGAGCAAGAGCCCGGAGAUGGAUUCUGAGACAUGAAUCCAGGCCAUACGGGGCGCAGCAGGCGCGAAACCUUUACAAUGCGCGCAAGCGCGAUAAGGGGACCUCGAGUGUUCCUACCUAGUAGGAACUGUCCAGUUGUCUAAAAAACAACUGUUAGCAAGAGCCGGGCAAGACCGGUGCCAGCCGCCGCGGUAACACCGGCGGCUCGAGUGGUGACCGCUUUUAUUGGGUCUAAAGGGUCUGUAGCCGGUCUAACAAGUUCUUUGGAAAAUCUGGUCGCUUAACGAUCAGGCUGCUAGGGGAUACUGUUAGACUUGGGACCGGGAGAGGCUAGAGGUACUUUAGGGGUAGGGGUGAAAUCCUGUGAUCCUUAAAGGACCACCAGUGGCGAAGGCGUCUAGCUAGAACGGAUCCGACGGUGAGGGACGAAAGCUGGGGGCACGAACCGGAUUAGAUACCCGGGUAGUCCCAGCCGUAAACGAUGCGAGAUAGGUGUCAGUUUUACUGCGAGUAAAAUUGGUGCCGUAGGGAAGCCGUGAAGCUCGCCACCUGGGAAGUACGGCCGCAAGGCUGAAACUUAAAGGAAUUGGCGGGGGAGUACUACAACGGGUGGAGCCUGCGGUUUAAUUGGACUCAACGCCGG
rnacentral:rRNA from 1 species